rnacentral:rRNA from 1 species
CCUAUGGGAUGCAGCAGUGGGGAAUAUUGCACAAUGGGCGCAAGCCUGAUGCAGCCAUGCCGCGUGUGUGAAGAAGGCCUUCGGGUUGUAAAGCACUUUUAUCAGGAACGAAAUACCACGGGUUAAUACCCUAUGGGGCUGACGGUACCUGAGGAAUAAGCGCCGGCUAACUUCGUGCCAGCAGCCGCGGUAAUACGAAGGGUGCAAGCGUUAAUCGGAAUUACUGGGCGUAAAGCGUGCGUAGGCGGUUUGUUAAGGCUGCUGUGAAAGCCCAGGGCUCAACCUGGGAAUGGCAGUGGAAACUGGCGAGCUAGAGUGUGAUAGAGGAUGGUGGAAUUCCCGGUGUAGCGGUGAAAUGCGUAGAGAUCGGGAGGAUCAUCAGUGGCGAAGGCGGCCAUCUGGAUCGACACUGACGCUGAGGCACGAAAGCGUGGGGAGCAAACAGGAUUAGAUACCCGUGUAGUC